rnacentral:rRNA from 1 species
CCCCGCCCGCGGUGGAUGAUGUGGAUUAAUUCGAUGCACGCGAAAACCUUACCUCCCCUUCACAUGUACGGAAGUCUGCUGAGAGGGGAUGUGCUCGAAAGAGACCGUAACACAUGCUGCAUGGCUGUCGUCAGCUCGUGUCGUGAGAUGUUGGGUUAAGUCCCGCAACGAGCGCAACCCUUGUCCUUAGUUGCUACGCAAGAGCACUCUAAGGAGACUGCCGGUGACAAACCGGAGGAAGGUGGGGAUGACGUCAAGUCCUCAUGGCCCUUAUGGGUAGGGCUUCACACGUCAUACAAUGGUCGGUACAGAGGGCGCCAAACCGCGAGGUGGAG